GGCAAAAUCAAACAACUGCAGGACCAG
rnacentral:sRNA from 1 species